GACGAACGCUGGCGGCGUGCUUAACACAUGCAAGUCGAACUGAAAGGCCCUGUUUUUGUGGUGUGCUCGGGUGGCGAACGGGUGAGUCACACGUGAGUAACCUGCCCUUGACUUUGGGAUAUCUUCUGGAAACUGGGGAUAAUACGGGUUAGGCGCUCCUGCUGCACGGUGGGGGUUGGAAAGUUUCGGAGGUUGGGGAUGGACUCGCGGCUUAUCUGCUUGCUGGUGGGGUAGUGGCUUAGGAAGGCGUUGACGGGUAGCCGGCCUGAGAGGGUGACCGGCGACACUGCGCCUGCUCUACGGCCCAGACUCCUACGGGAGGCAGCAGUGGUGAAUAGUGCACAGUGGGCGGAACCCUGAUGCAGCAACGCCGCGUGCGGGAUGAUGGCCUUCUGGUGGUAAACCGCUUUCGCCUUGGACGAAGCGGUAGUGACGGUAAUGGGUGAAGAAGCACCGGCUAACUACGUG
rnacentral:rRNA from 1 species